GAUUGGCUGCCUGAGCCCGUCGCCCCGCGCUCUCCCUCUAAAGGGACGAAGCGUGUGGAGAGACCGGGCGGCCGGGGCCUGAGGGGUGCCCGGGAGCCUGGGGCCUCGGGCCUCGGGGAGGCGAGGAGGAGCUCACCUUCUAGGUAUUUACAUGAAGGCAGGAUCUGAUUUUGAUGGAGAUAUUUAUUAAUGUUACUAAUGGUCUGUGAUCUCAAUCAGGAACAUUUAUUUCUAUUAGGCAUCAUUGUGGUGCAGUAGACUGCUGAACCUGGAGUCAGGAAGAUCUGAGUUCAAAUCCAGCCUCAGACACUUAGCUGACCCUGGACCUCCCAAAAACCUUCAGCCCAAAUGAAUGAUGAUGAUGUCAAGAGUCUGAGACACUGUGGUGAACUUAUAGACAGAUUGUCCAUCGGAUCACAAUCUACAUGGAGAUCCAACAUUACGUCGUGAUGGGACUGGUUAAUAACUUUAAAGCAACCCAGAGAUGUAGCUGCUAAUGGGAAUCCUCUGAUGAGCAACUGGGGGCCACUGACACUUCCCAAGCAAAGGAAUAACAUGGACAGACUGAGGUGUUAAGAAUAUUCGUUUGCAGUUGAGUAGAGGAUAUAUUGAAGAGAGGAGAGACUGAGUGCUGGGAAACCAAUCAGGAGACUAUUGCAAUGGUCC